rnacentral:piRNA from 1 species
UACUUAACAAGAAGUCUGAUGGAAGC